GGAAAGUUAGCAUAACUGGUAAUGCAGCAGUUUACUAAACUGUGGCGAUUAAUUUCGCGUAUGGGUUCGAGUCCUAUACUUUCCG
rnacentral:tRNA from 1 species